rnacentral:tRNA from 1 species
CCGAGCUUAGCUCAGUUGGCUAGAGCACCUGACUGUAGUGGCCAUCAGGGGGUCCCCGGUUCAAGUCCGGGAGCUCGGACCA